rnacentral:rRNA from 1 species
UACAGAGGGGGCAAGCGUUGUUCGGAAUUACUGGGCGUAAAGGGCUCGUAGGUGGCCAACUAAGUCAGACGUGAAAUCCCUCGGCUUAACCGGGGAACUGCGUCUGAUACUGGAUGGCUAGAGGUUGGGAGAGGGAUGCGGAAUUCCAGGUGUAGCGGUGAAAUGCGUAGAUAUCAGAAGGAACAUCAGUGGCGAAGGCGGCUUUCUGGACCAAUACUGACGAUCAGGUGCGAAAGCGUGGGGAGCAAACAGG